AAGACUAUAGACCUGCGGAGUACCUGCGGAGGGAUCAUUAACGAGUGUAACUUACCCUUUUUUUUAAAAGAGGGUAGUACCUCCUGUCCUUUGUAGGCCCCUUUUUAUUGGGGGGCUUUUUAAGACUUUCUGCUUCGGCGGGGUUAUUCCCGCCGGAACACCCUCAAAAAACUCUUCAAAAACUAAUUCAGUCCGAGAAUUUUUGAAAAUAAAAAAAACUUUCAACAAUGGAUCUCUAGA
rnacentral:misc_RNA from 1 species